CUUUGUUUAUUAGUUUGCAGCGUCUGCGUCUUUUUGCGUUAAUUGUGUACCAGUUGUUUUGGCGUUCGAUAUUUUUUUUAGUUCCUGUACCUCAGUGACGAAGAAUUAUGUUCAAUUGUUGAAAUUACACUUUCAGUUUUAUCGAUUUUUGCGUUACUACAGAUACUCAAACUCUUCGUUUAGAAUUUUCGAUUAAUCUCGACGAGCGAGAUUUUAUUAACGCGGUGACGGACAGACACGUGAAUUGAGCUUCCAAAAUGAGUGACGUCGAGGACCGCAACGGGAAUUCUAAAUCUCGUUCCAUUACUCCAAGCCGGAGUCGUAGCAGAUCGCCAAGCGAUCAUAAGUCUCGCAGUCGAUCACCCACUCACUCGAAGACACGUUCUAGAUCACUGUCUCGGCCACCCAGCCGCAACGGUAGCAAAUAUAAGAGUCGCUCUAGGCAUUCGUACUCAAGGUCACGUUCUAGGUCUCGUUCAUAUUCUGGUGAUCGCCGACGCAGUUAUCGCAGCCAUUCACGAGGCUCUGGCUCGAGACGCAGCAGACAUGAAAACCCAAAGCCUAACAAAUGUCUGGGCAUAUUUGGCUUAAGUGUUUACACAACGGAACAUCAACUGUACGAUAUAUUUGCAAAAUAUGGUUCUAUUGACAAAAUUCUUAUUAUCAUUGAUGCCAAAAGUGGAAGGUCUCGUGGUUUUGGUUUUGCUUAUUUCAAAAAGCAUGAAGAUGCAAAGGUAGCUAAAGAAGAAUGCUCAGGCAUGGAAAUCGAUGGCCGCAGAAUACGAGUAGAUUUUUCAAUUACCCAACGUCCUCACACACCGACACCUGGCAUUUAUAUGGGCAGACCGACAAUGAGAGAAGAAAGGUCAUCCAGGAGAAGAGGUUAUGAUAGAUAUGAUAAUAACCGGUAUGAUCGUGGUGAUAGAUAUGACCGUGGAGAUCGUUAUGAUAGAUAUGAUAGAGAUAGAGAUUAUGACGACUACUAUGAUGGUGGAUACAGAGGUGGCGGCGGCGGUAGAGGUGGUGGUGGAGGCCACUACAGAGAACGCAGAUCGCCAUCAUACUACAAAAACAGAUCACGUUAUGAUAGAUCACGUUCACGUUCUUAUUCUCCCCUUUUUCAGCUUUCAAAGUAUUUUAUCAAGAUUUCUCACAUAUUCAAUUUUUUAUUCAUUUCCUGAAGACCAUAUUCGAAGAAAAGAGAAUAUUUCAAACUGUCAAGAUAAUAAUCUAUAUAAAUUGACUUGAAGACUUCUCGAACUUCUAUAACUUUAAAACUUUUUUUUUUUUUUUAAUUUAAAAAAAAAACUAUAAUAAGAAGAUUCUUCAAAUUACAAAAGUAGAACACAUGAAGACCCAUGUUCACAAUUUGACCCAAGGGUAGAAAAUUGGUAGACACUGAUGAAGAUCUUGAAGUUUGUCAAGAAAAUUAACAGUUUAUCGCUACUAAUUACAGAGGUGCGGAAAGAGUUUAAGACAUUUUCUUUGAAGACUAGGGAUAACAUUGUAAUGUGAAGCAUUUGUCAAGUCUGAAGAAACAUUAAAAGGAGUGAAGAUGUUUGGUCAAACAUUUUGACAUUUUAAAUUUAGUUUUGCAAUCUUAGUUUCACAAUAU